rnacentral:rRNA from 1 species
GACGAACGCUGGCGGCGUGCCUAAUACAUGCAAGUCGAACGAGUGGCGGACGGGUGAGUAAUGUCUGGGGAUCUGCCCGAUAGAGGGGGAUAACUACUGAAAACGGUAGCUAAUACCGCAUACUAUCGGAUGAACCCAUAUGGGAUUAGCUAGUAGGUGAGGUAAUGGCUCACCUAGGCGACGAUCCCUAGCUGGUCUGAGAGGAUGAUCAGCCACACUGGGACUGAGACACGGCCCAGACUCCUACGGGAGGCAGCAGUGGGGAAUAUUGCACAAUGGGCGCAAGCCUGAUGCAGCCAUGCCGCGUGUAUGAAGAAGGCCUUAGGGUUGUAAAGUACUUUCAGCGGGGAGGCGUUACCCGCAGAAGAAGCACCGGCUAACUCCGUGCCAGCAGCCGCGGUAAUUC